rnacentral:rRNA from 1 species
AUUGAACGCUGGCGGCAGGCCUAACACAUGCAAGUCGAGCGGAUGAAGGGAGCUUGCUCCUGGAUUCAGCGGCGGACGGGUGAGUAAUGCCUCGGAAUCUGCCUGGUAGUGGGGGAUAACGUCCGGAAACGGGCGCUAAUACCGCAUACGUCCUGAGGGAGAAAGUGGGGGAUCUUCGGACCUCACGCUCUCAGAUGAGCCUAGGUCGGAUUAGCUAGUUGGUGGGGUAAAGGCCUACCAAGGCGACGAUCCGUAACUGGUCUGAGAGGAUGAUCAGUCACACUGGAACUGAGACGCGGUACAGAGUCCUACGGGAGGCAACAGUGGGGAAUAUUGGACAAUGGGCGGAAGCCUGGUCCAGCCAUGCCGCGUGUGUGAAGAAGGUCUUCGGAUUGUAAAGCACUUUAAGUUGGGAGGAAGGACAGUAAGUUAAUACCUUGCUGUUUUGACGUUACCAUCAGAAUAAGCACCGGAUAACUUCGUG